rnacentral:rRNA from 1 species
UAACGUUUGUUUCCUGUUUCUGGUGGCGCUCCUUAGAGCGGCAGAUAGAAGCUUCGCUUCUCUUGAGAGAAAAAGAAGGUUGAGUAAUGCCUAGGAAUCUGCCUGGUAGUGGGGGAUAACGUUCGGAAACGGACGCUAAUACCGCAUACGUCCUACGGGAGAAAGCAGGGGACCUUCGGGCCUUGCGCUAUCAGAUGAGCCUAGGUCGGAUUAGCUAGUUGGUGGGGUAAUGGCUCACCAAGGCGACGAUCCGUAACUGGUCUGAGAGGAUGAUCAGUCACACUGGAACUGAGACACGGUCCAGACUCCUACGGGAGGCAGCAGUGGGGAAUAUUGGACAAUGGGCGAAAGCCUGAUUCAGCCAUGCCGCGUGUGUGAAGAAGGUCUUCGGAUUGUAAAGCACUUUAAGUUGGGAGGAAGGGCAGUAAAUUAAUACUUUGCUGUUUUGACGUUACCGACAGAAUAAGCACCGGCUAACUCUGUGCCAGCAGCCGCGGUAAUUAAA